ACCCAUCCAUCCCAGGGCCACAGACAGCCUUUCCAUAACUGUCCUUGUCACCAUGACACCAGAGGAAAGUGUGUCUAAAGCAGUUGACUACUAAAGCCUAAUGGUAAAUAAAUCCUCAGUUCAUCUGGCUUUUCCAUGAUGAAAAUCUACAUGGAUUAGAAGUCUGUUUAGUUUACAGAUGACUUCUUGCAGCACCCAGGAACACAGCAGAAUUAAAUAAUUGACCUUUAACAAUACCAUACAUUGUAAACUGAUGGCAGCCAGAAAGAUAUUGGGAAACAACUGACUGAAACUGUGUUCUCUCUCUUACUAGCAAUGAGGCCAGGUUGUGCUAUCAAAACAAAACACAAGGUCUUGGAGUGACUGAGAGAAUGGUGUGAAGUAAGGUUGAAAUCUCCACCUUUGACCAUGUCAUUAACUAAACUUCCCAGUUAGGUUUUAGAAUACAAUCACACUUUUGGAGUAAAAAUUAAGCAAUCAUAUAUGGUAAUUCUUUGUCAAUUGUGUAUGAGAACAGUUAAUAACUUUAUAAUGCACACAGAUACACACACACAUAUAUAUGAUUUUCAAGGUGCGGUGUCACACACUUUUAGUCCCAGC
rnacentral:lncRNA from 1 species